AUCUAGACUACUGUCACUCAUGAACGAGUCACUCUCAAGUGCCUUAUUCUCCGCCAAAUUCAGUUUUGUUACCGAGUUCUAACACGGAGGAAGAAAACGAGGACCUAAUGAGCAAUUAAAUGUAAUGUUAGUUGCAGAAACUUUAUUGUCAAAUAAAGUCUACCUCUCCAGAAGUAGAAGCUUGAUGUGGAUGCAGUCAAGAUUGGUCAUUGUCUUCUCCAUCAAAAGGUCAGUUAAAGAAAAUGGCAUUGUCAGGUGAAGGUGGCCUCUCCAAAAGUCGAUGCGUGAUGGGAGUGCAGACCGAAAGGUCCCAAAUUCAACAAUGUUUUCUCCAUCAACAGGCCAGCUGCAGACACACCAUCAUCAGAUGAAGUAUACCUCAAUUUCGGAAGUAGAUGCAUGAAGCUAUCAAGAUUCAAGGAUAUCUUCUAACAGACUUUUACAGAGACACUAUUGUUAGAUGAAGUGUACCUCUCCAGAUGUAGAUAUGUGUAUGAUGGGAAUGCUGCCUUGUACAACAAUGUAUUCUCAAGCAACAGACUUGCUACAGACAUGACGUCAGAUGAAGUUUACCUCUCCAAAAGUACAUGCAUGAUGCAAAUGCUGCCCUGAGUCAGAUGUGCCUUGUGCGCUAUGUCUAC